UGUGGAUGAAGCACGAGUUCGGCUCAGCUCGAGAAGCCAAAUAAAUAAAGAGGAGCCGGAAGGAGGAAUAACAGAGGGACAUGAGAAACUUUUGGGGAUAACGGACAUGUGUGUUUCUUGAUGAAUUCCAUGGCUCUUUUUCUCAGUCAGCUAGAGCUCUGUCGCCGUGGAUGGAUUCGUGCAAGUGUCAGUGGAUCCUGGAAGCCGUUCUCGGGCCAACCAACUCACUCUUCCUAAGUCAGGUCCUGAGAGAAUAGCUGCUGACAUAGGAAGACACCCAAAAAUUAUUUGCUGAAUUUUGAGAUGAAUUUCAUUAGAUCAUCA